rnacentral:rRNA from 1 species
UAGGGAAUCUUCCACAAUGGACGCAAGUCUGAUGGAGCAACGCCGCGUGUGUGAUGAAGGCUUUCGGGUCGUAAAGCACUGUUGUAUGGGAAGAACAGCUAGAAUAGGAAAUGAUUUUAGUUUGACGGUACCAUACCAGAAAGGGACGGCUAAAUACGUGCCAG